ensembl:miRNA
UGUCACUCUGCCGGCAUCAUGAAGUGCACUCAUGAUAUGUUUGCCCCAUCAGCGUGUCACAAGGGCAUUUCAUGACGCAGGCGGAGUUGGCA